rnacentral:rRNA from 1 species
AGUGGCGCACGGGUGCGUAACGCGUAUGCAACUUACCCUCUACUGGGGAAUAACUCGGGGAAACCCGGGCUAAUACCGCGUAAUAAGUUGGCUGGCCUCAGCUAAUUUUAAAAGCUUCGGCGGUAGGGGCUAGGCAUGCGUGCCAUUAGCUAGAUGGAGAGGUAACGGCUCCCCAUGGCCACGAUGGCUAGGGGUUCUGAGAGGAAGAUCCCCCACACUGGUACUGAGAUACGGACCAGACUCCUACGGGAGGCAGCAGUAAGGAAUAUUGGGCAAUGGACGCAAGUCUGGCCCAGCCAUGCCGCGUGUCGGAAGAAUCCCCUCUGGGGUGUAAACGACUUUUGUCGGGGAAGAAGAUGCUUUUGCGAAAGUAGUUGACGGUACCCGAUGAAUAAGCACCGGCUAACUACGUGCCAGCAGCCGCGGUAAUACGUAGGGUGCAAGCGUUGUCCGGAUUUAUUGGGUUUAAAGGGUGCGUAGGCGGCCGAUUAAGUCGUGGGUGAAAUGCCAACGCUCAACGUUGGAGGUGCCUGCGAUACUGGUUGGCUUGAGUGCAGUUGAGGCAACUGGAAUUGGUGGUGUAGCGGUGAAAUGCAUAGAUACCACCAGGAACACCGAUUGCGAAGGCAGGUCGCUAAGCUGCAACUGACGCUGAGGCACGAAAGCGUGGGGAUCAAACAGGAUUAGAUACCCUGGUAGUCCACGCUGUAAACGAUGAUGACUCGCUGUUG